rnacentral:rRNA from 1 species
GACGAACGCUGGCGGCGUGCCUAAUACAUGCAAGUCGAGCGGACUUUCAAGAAGCUUGCUUUUUGAAAGUUAGCGGCGGACGGGUGAGUAACACGUGGGCAACCUGCCUGCAAGACGGGGAUAACUCCGGGAAACCGGGGCUAAUACCGGAUAAUAUCUUCCUUCGCAUGAAGGAAGGUUGAAAGGCGGCGCAAGCUGCCGCUUGCAGAUGGGCCCGCGGCGCAUUAGCUAGUUGGUGAGGUAACGGCUCACCAAGGCGACGAUGCGUAGCCGACCUGAGAGGGUGAUCGGCCACACUGGGACUGAGACACGGCCCAGACUCCUACGGGAGGCAGCAGUAGGGAAUCUUCCGCAAUGGACGAAAGUCUGACGGAGCAACGCCGCGUGAGCGAAGAAGGUCUUCGGAUCGUAAAGCUCUGUUGUCAGGGAAGAACAAGUACCGUUCGAACAGGGCGGUACCUUGACGGUGCCUGACCAGAAAGCCACGGCUAACUACGUG